rnacentral:rRNA from 1 species
UACGUAGGGCGCAAGCGUUGUCCGGAAUUAUUGGGCGUAAAGAGCUCGUAGGCGGCUUGUCACGUCGGGUGUGAAAGCCCGGGGCUUAACCCCGGGUCUGCAUUCGAUACGGGCAGGCUAGAGUGUGGUAGGGGAGAUCGGAAUUCCUGGUGUAGCGGUGAAAUGCGCAGAUAUCAGGAGGAACACCGGUGGCGAAGGCGGCAUCCUGGACCGGCAUUGACGCUGAGGAGCGAAAGCCAGGGGAGCAAACGGG